CCCACUCCCGGCCACCAGGGGGCGGACGCCGAGAGUGUAGGAUGUUUACACUCCCUGGAAGUCAGAGGUCAAAGGGCACCUUAGACCUAGAAAGUUAAAAUUCUAAAAAACAAAAUGAAGAUCUGAGAACGUGUGAGGAGAGGAUGAAGCCGCUCCCAUCCACUGGGAACUGAAUGGCCUGAAUGGAGACAACUAUCGCUGCCAGCCGGUUUUCCCUGAAAAUACCGUCAAGACACCGGAUACUUUAGGCCUUGAUCAGACUGCCAGCACAAAUCUGUUUUCUGCACAGACAAUAAACAACGCAACAGACGACAACGUCAAAUCCAGAGUACCCCGACUUCCUCUGCUCCAGGUCAACGAGGUCCAGACCUCUGGAUCUUUUCAGAGGGGUGUACAAUAAUAGUUGUGAAGUAAUUGCCUAAAAAUAACUUUGAUGCUCCAAUGGUAAGAACAUGUAUUUAUAUGGUAAAAUGAAAGGAAUAAAACUCCAACUUUAACCAUAAAAUCAACAGUACUAAUACUAUUUUACUUUAAUAGAUAAUAAGUUAAAGGUCCAGUGUGUAACAUUGAGAAGGAUCUGUUGGCAGAAAUUAAAUAUAAUAUUCAUAGGUAUGUUUUCAUUAGUGUUUAAUCACCUGAAAAUAUAAUUGUCGUGAUUUUAUUACCUUAGAAUGAGACUCCUUCCAGUACGCCAUGUUCAACCGCCACGUUUC